CAGUCGAGGGGCAGCGAGAUCAGUGCUUGCACUGAUUGUCGGCGACCGGCGCACGGGUGCGUAACGCGUAUGCAACCUACCCAUUACAGGGGGAUAACACUGAGAAAUCGGUACUAAUACCCCAUAACAUCCAGGGAGGCAUCUUCUUGGGUUGAAAACUCCGGUGGUAAUGGAUGGGCAUGCGUUGUAUUAGUUAGUUGGUGGGGUAACGGCUCACCAAGACAACGAUACAUAGGGGGACUGAGAGGUUAACCCCCCACAUUGGUACUGAGACACGGACCAAACUCCUACGGGAGGCAGCAGUGAGGAAUAUUGGUCAAUGGACGCAAGUCUGAACCAGCCAUGCCGCGUGCAGGAAGACGGCUCUAUGAGUUGUAAACUGCUUUUGUACGAGGGUAAACGCAGAUACGCGUAUCUGUCUGAAAGUAUCGUACGAAUAAGGAUCGGCUAACUCCGUGCCAGCAGCCGCGGUAAUACGGAGGAUUCAAGCGUUAUCCGGAUUUAUUGGGUUUAAAGGGUGCGUAGGCGGUCGGAUAAGUUAGAGGUGAAAUCCCGGGGCUCAACUUCGGAAUUGCCUCUGAUACUGUUCGGCUAGAGAGUAGUUGCGGUAGGCGGAAUGUAUGGUGUAGCGGUGAAAUGCUUAGAGAUCAUACAGAACACCGAUUGCGAAGGCAGCUUACCAAGCUACUUCUGACGUUGAGGCACGAAAGCGUGGGGAGCAAACAGGAUUAGAUACCCUGGUAGUCCACGCAGUAAACGAUGAUAACUCGUUGUCGGCGAUACAGUGUCGGUGACUAAGCGAAAGCGAUAAGUUAUCCACCUGGGGAGUACGU
rnacentral:rRNA from 1 species